CGGAUUCGUCGGCCGGUUACGUCACAGCGCCGCGACUCGGCCUGUCCCAAUUCGAAGACUCCUUCAAAUGCGGUCGACGAAUGCGGCCUUCUUUUCGCCUGAAUGAAGGAUGGGUCGGGUGUAUCCUUCAAUAGGUAGCAUUUCCCAAGAUGCCUUGCGGGCCGGCCGGCAGAAAAACUUAAAAACAAUGGCGGACAGUGAAGCGGGAGCUGUCGGAGAGGAUUGCGCUUAUAAAUGACCAAAAGAGAAAACCAGGGAAUUUAUUAAGCUUAGGGCGGAGAUGGACCACAUGAUCACCGGAGCAAAGUAUUCGGCGGCUGUGGCAUGGAGACUAUUCUGGAGAAAAUGGGCAUCCAGGGGAAGGUGCCAGCGAUGAGCUUCUGGAGCUGAUCUGGGAGGACAUGAGGCUGCAGAGCAGCAGAGAGCACAGGAGAGAAGGAAGAACUUUGACAGCUUUUUACUUUGCUAGAAAAAAAUGGUUAAUGAAGAUUAAACAUGUACAUGUAAAAGAAAUAUCUAACUAAAAUCAGUUCUGCAUUAAACUCUUGAAUUUUA